rnacentral:tRNA from 1 species
GUUAAAGUAGUUUUAAAAAUAUAAUUUUUGUAAAAUUAAGUAACAAUUAAAGUUGUCUUUAAUU